rnacentral:lncRNA from 1 species
UUCUCCUAAUUUAUAUGCUGCCAAAAAUAUUACCUACAACAACUAUUACUUAAAAAAUCAAUUAAUACUCAUUUUUGUUGGCUUAAACGGAUUAGCAUCCUGUUAUGUGACGGGAGGUCAUAUUGGGUCGAGUCAUAUUCGAAAUGGCGUGAGGCUGUGUUGGCCUAGUCAUAUUCGAAGUGGCAUGAGAUUAGUUGGGCCGAGCCACAAUCGAAAUUCAUGGGUGUUGUAUCUGUACGCUUUAAGUGAAUUAGUUGUGUAUUUCUAACAGUUCGAGCUUUUGAGAUUAAUGGUUAGCGCCAACGAUCUGACAGCUUUUGGCUCGGCCAAAUAAAAAUUGUUUAGGAAUGGAACUCCAAAUUGUUCAU